rnacentral:rRNA from 1 species
UGGGGAAUAUUGCACAAUGGGCGAAAGCCUGAUGCAGCGACGCCGCGUGAGUGAAGAAGUAUUUCGGUAUGUAAAGCUCUAUCAGCAGGGAAGAAAAUGACGGUACCUGACUAAGAAGCCCCGGCUAACUACGUGCCAGCAGCCGCGGUAAUACGUAGGGGGCAAGCGUUAUCCGGAUUUACUGGGUGUAAAGGGAGCGUAGACGGCGAAGCAAGUCUGAAGUGAAAACCCAGGGCUCAACCCUGGGACUGCUUUGGAAACUGUUUUGCUAGAGUGUCUGAGAGGUAAGUGGAAUUCCUAGUGUAGCGGUGAAAUGCGUAGAUAUUAGGAGGAACACCAGUGGCGAAGGCGGCUUACUGGACGAUAACUGACGUUGAGGCUCGAAAGCGUGGGGAGCAAACAGG